CAGCCGCCACGGGAAUACGAAGGGGGCUAGCGUUGUUCGGAAUUACUGGGCGUAAAGCGCACGUAGGCGGAUAUUUAAGUCAGGGGUGAAAUCCCAGAGCUCAACUCUGGAACUGCCUUUGACGCUGGGUAUCUUGAGUAUGGAAGAGGUGAGUGGAAUUCCGAGUGUAGAGGUGAAAUUCGUAGAUAUUCGGAGGAACACCAGUGGCGAAGGCGGCUCACUGGUCCAUUACUGACGCUGAGGUGCGAAAGCGUGGGGAGCAAACAGGAUUAGAUACCCGUGUAGUCCCUGUCUCUUAUAC
rnacentral:rRNA from 1 species